rnacentral:rRNA from 1 species
AUGCCAUUAUAUAUUUAUUUAGUUUUGAAUCUGCCCUUUUAUUUUGCUACACGGUAUGUCCAUCUAAUCUGCAGCUCUCCCCCUAUUUCUAUUUUUGCCUCUUCUCUUCAUUGUAAAAAUUGUGCUACGUUCCCCUUUUUCAUUUUAUUUCCCUUGGACUCUAAAUACGUGCCCACAUCUGGGGAUUUCAGGUCGCCAUGGUCGCCGACCAGCUCCUUGAUCAGAACGCGAUGGCCGACGACGAGCUCCGUGAUCAGAUCACGCUGGCGCCCGAGAAACUCCCUGUUCCUAACCCAGCGCCUUCCGCCUGCUCCACCAACAACUGUCUGCGGGGGCUUGCACAGGUUUCGCCAUAUCAUCUUGGAUACUGUGUUUGAGAAAGUUGGCCUUCCAUCAGCUGCCUACUCUGCACCGAGCUCCUCUUCCAGUUCAGGCAACACCAUGGCUGAUGGAUCCUCCGCAAUGGCAACCUCGUUCGUGAACGUCCUGAUAGAUGAUGGGCUGCUGAUCAAGAACCUUCCUCCGCUGUCUCCAAUCCACGUCACCAUCAGCAAGCAAUUCAUUCUUGAACGAGCAAUUGAAACAAUUGGUGGCACACUCCAUCCAUUCACUUUUACCGGUACAAGCAGCGAUGAUGUCGACGUCUCUCUCUCCAUUGACCUACCUCCCCACAGCAAAAGCAUGUCAAGCACAAGAAAGGAAUUCCAUGCCCCACACAUCGAAUCUACAUGUGUUGCUGCCCUCGCGUACCUACAGAAAACAGGUAUAGUCACAAUCGAUGAUGCAAACUUUGCAGAGCUGAAAAUAUGCAAAAGGGAACUUCAGGCUGAGGAGUUCUGGUCCUCGACUCUCUAUGAUAAGGCCAAUGCCCUGGGCAACCAGCUCUCUUUACUGACUGCCGCCAAGCAGAAACCCCAGCCUGAGGAUAAACAAGGAGCUGCUGUGUUGCCUCCUAACCAUCAUAAUACUCCACAGACCAGGCAGAAAGUGCUUUCCGAGCAUGCCACUGGAAGGGAAACCACAUCAACCCCUGUCACAGAAACAAACAAUAGGUACUCUCCAUUACAUUGCCACACAACGCCGCUGCAAGUUCUUGCAUUCCUCUGUAUACCACCUUACCUCUCAUGUGAUGCUUUCUAUGUUGUGUGUUUCCUAUAUUAG